rnacentral:rRNA from 1 species
AGUGAACGCUGGCGGUAGGCCUAACACAUGCAAGUCGAACGGCAGCACAGUAAGAGCUUGCUCUUACGGGUGGCGAGUGGCGGACGGGUGAGGAAUACAUCGGAAUCUACUUUUUCGUGGGGGAUAACGUAGGGAAACUUACGCUAAUACCGCAUACUACCUACGGGUGAAAGCAGGGGAUCUUCGGACCUUGCGCGAUUGAAUGAGCCGAUGUCGGAUUAGCUAGUUGGCGGGGUAAAGGCCCACCAAGGCGACGAUCCGUAGCUGGUCUGAGAGGAUGAUCGGCCACACUGGAACUGAGACACGGUCCAGACUCCUACGGGAGGCAGCAGUGGGGAAUAUUGGACAAUGGGCGCAAGCCUGAUCCAGCCAUACCGCGUGGGUGAAGAAGGCCUUCGGAUUGUAAAGCCCUUUUGUUGGGAAAGAAAAGAAGCAGGUUAAUACCCCGCUGUUCUGACGGUACCCAAAGAGUAAGCACCGGCUAACUUCGUG